rnacentral:rRNA from 1 species
UACCAGCACCCCGAGUGGUCGGGACGUUUAUUGGGCCUAAAGCAUCCGUAGCCGGUUCUACAAGUCUUCCGUUAAAUCCACCUGCUUAACAGAUGGGCUGCGGAAGAUACUAUAGAGCUAGGAGGCGGGAGAGGCAAGCGGUACUCGAUGGGUAGGGGUAAAAUCCGUUGAUCCAUUGAAGACCACCAGUGGCGAAGGCGGCUUGCCAGAACGCGCUCGACGGUGAGGGAUGAAAGCUAGGGGAGCGAACGGG